GAUGAACGCUGGCGGCAUGCUUAACACAUGCGAGUCGAACGGACUCUUCGGAGUUAGUGGCGGACGGGUGAGUAACGCGUGAGAAUCUGGCUUUGGGUUCGGGACAACCACUGGAAACGGUGGCUAAUACCGGAUGUGCCGAGAGGUAAAAGAGAAAUUGCCUGAAGAUGAGCUCGCGUCUGAUUAGCUAGUUGGUGAGGUAAAGGCUCACCAAGGCAGCGAUCAGUAGCUGGUCUGAGAGGAUGACCAGCCACACUGGGACUGAGACACGGCCCAGACUCCUACGGGAGGCAGCAGUGGGGAAUUUUCCGCAAUGGGCGAAAGCCUGACGGAGCAAUACCGCGUGAGGGAAGAAGGCUCUUGGGUUGUAAACCUCUUUUCUUAGGGAAGAACAAAAUGACGGUACCUAAGGAAUCAGCAUCGGCUAACUCCGUG
rnacentral:rRNA from 1 species